rnacentral:rRNA from 1 species
UACGUAGGGCGCGAGCGUUGUCCGGAUUUAUUGGGCGUAAAGAGCUCGUAGGCGGCUUGUCGCGUCGUCCGUGAAAACCUGCAGCUCAACUGCAGGCUUGCGGUCGAUACGGGCAGGCUAGAGUUCGGUAGGGGGAGACUGGAAUUCCUGGUGUAGCGGUGAAAUGCGCAGAUAUCAGGAGGAACACCGGUGGCGAAGGCGGGUCUCUGGGCCGAUACUGACGCUGAGGAGCGAAAGCGUGGGGAGCGAACAGG